rnacentral:rRNA from 3 species
CCUGCGAAAGGAUCAUUAUCGGCACA